rnacentral:rRNA from 1 species
UGCGUAGGUGGUCGUGUUAGUCGUCUGUCAAAACCCGGAGCUCAACUCCGGAUCCGCGGGCGAAACGGCACGACUUGAGGGCGUGAGAGGUCUGUGGAACUCUAGGUGUAGGGGUGAAAUCCGUUGAUAUCUAGGGGAACACCGAAAGCGAAGGCAACAGACUGGCGCGUUCCUGACACUCAAGCACGAAAGCGCAGGUAGCAACG